UACGGAGGGUGCAAGCGUUAUCCGGAUUCACUGGGUUUAAAGGGUGCGUAGGUGGGUCUGUAAGUCCGUGGUGAAAUCUCCGAGCUUAACUUGGAAACUGCCAUGGAUACUAUAGAUCUUGAAUACUGUGGAGGUUAGCGGAAUAUGUCAUGUAGCGGUGAAAUGCUUAGAUAUGACAUAGAACACCAAUUGCGAAGGCAGCUUACUACACAAAUAUUGACGCUGAGGCACGAAAGCGUGGGGAUCAAACAGG
rnacentral:rRNA from 1 species